GACGAACGCUGGCGGCGUGCUUAACACAUGCAAGUCGAACGGAAAGGCCCUGCUUGUGUGGGGUGCUCGGGGGGCGAACGGGUGAGGAACACGAGAGUAACCUGCCCUUGACUUUGGGAUAACGUCAGGAAACCGGGGCUAAUACCGGAUAGGAGCUUCUGCGGCAUGGUGGGGGUUGGAAAGUGUCGGUGGUUGGGGAUGGUCUCGCGGCUUAUGAGCUUGUUGGUGGGGUAGUGGCUUACCAAGGCUUUGACGGGUAGUCGGCCUGAGAGGGUGACCAGCCACAUUGGGACUGCGAUACGGCGCAGACUCCUACGGGAGGCAGCGGUGGGGAAUAUUGCACAAUGGGCGGGAGCCUGAUGCAGAGACGCCGCGUUCGGGAUGACGGCCUUCGGGUUGUAAACCGCUUUCGCCUGUGACGAAGCGUGAGUGACGGUACUGGGUAAAGAAGCACCGGCUAACUACGUG
rnacentral:rRNA from 1 species